UAUGGCAACUGUAGACCAUAUUGCCAAUAAAACUUUACUCGUGAGCUCUUCCACCGCCAACUUCAUCCAUUGAACAUUUUCAUCCACACCUAACCUUGAUUCCUUGCAUCACAUCGUUGUUGUUUCAUUAAGUUCCUCCGCUGUCGCCUCUCAGUUCAUCACACAUCUCACCUGCACCGCAUCUCCAAUUCAAACCGCACCUCAAUUUGCUGCAUCUCAGAUUGCAACCGCCAUUCAUUUCCACCGCAUCUCACCUCUGCUGUUUUCCAUAUCAUGUCCGCUGCUGCUUCAUAUACAAUCGUGCUGCU
rnacentral:lncRNA from 1 species